AGAGUACAAAACGUUUGUAUAUAAUUACAAGAACCGCACACCAGUAGACAGAAGUAUGAGUCACGCAGACGUGGCACUACAAGCAGAAACAGAUAUUCAAUGACUUCUCGCGUAAGGCCACUCGCAUACGGGUUGCCAUUUUAAUUCUAUAACGAUGAGAUUGAUAAAGAAUAAUUAACAAUUCGAUUAAAAGUAGAACAAGUAAUUAAAAUUCACUUUUGUCGUCUACACUACUUUUAAUUCGAAUCUAAUAAUAUCGAUAAAACCUACAAUUAAAAAGCAACAAAGUUAAUUGUACAUUUAUCUAUCUACACUCUAACGAUUCAUCGUUAGAUGUGAGCUUAAGAACUAUUUUCGACACCGCGUCCAGACAAUACUUGGACACGUGAUAAUGCUGAAAAGCUAUUGUGUCACGCGUUAUCGAGUAUUUUAGUUCCUGAUGCAAAUGCGGUAUUCGCAUGAAAUGGUUCUCCACAUUGUAUACCUACUGUAGCAAAAUAGUCUUGUAAAAAUUAUUGAAAAGGAAGUAGAUGCUACGAAACCUGAUCUGAAAAGUGGGCUUGUUAUAUAGUUAAAUCAAAUAAUUACUAAUUUAGGAGAAAAAAAUAUUUUUGUAUAAAGUUCUAGCCACAAGAAAAUAAUAAUAAUUACAGUACAUAAAUUGGAUAAGUAAAGAUUUCUAAUGAACUCAAGCACAGGUUUAUGUUUUUUUUUAUCCUGUGACCAUUUGACAAUUAUUAUAAAAUUCACAUUGGUGUAAUAAAAAACCUUUAAUUUAAGUGUUAUACUAGUAUAACAACGGAACUGCACCACAAUCGUGUAUCAGAACAUUCUCGUAUUACUAGACAAGGUAAACAGAUGUUUAUAAGGUCAUUGCUUGAUAAUAAAGCGGAAAUGGAAGUUUUAUUUUUAAAAAACUGUUACAUUAUGAAUUGAUACCGUAAUAAAUCUAUCAGCCGGUCUGAAGGACGCCAACAGGUGUCAGAAUGCAAAUACUUACAGAGCUCAUUGGAUACAGCCGCUGCGUCACUCAUGAA